GACGAACGCUGGCGGCGUGCUUAACACAUGCAAGUCGAACGGAAAGGCCCUGCUUUUGUGGGGUGCUCGAGUGGCGAACGGGUGAGUAACAUGUGAGUAACCUGCCCUUGACUUUGGGAUAACUUCAGGAAACUGGGGCUAAUACCGGAUAGGAGCUCCUGCUGCAUGGUGGGGGUUGGAAAGUUUCGGCGGUUGGGGAUGGACUCGCGGCUUAUCAGCUUGUUGGUGGGGUAGUGGCUUACCAAGGCUUUGACGGGUAGCCGGCCUGAGAGGGUGACCGGCCACAUUGGGACUGAGAUACGGCCCAGACGCCUACGGGAGGCAGCAGUGGGGAAUAUUGCACAAUGGGCGGAAGCCUGAUGCAGCAACGCCGCGUGCGGGAUGACGGCCUUCGGGUUGUAAACCGCUUUCGCCUGUGACGAAGCGUGAGUGACGGUAAUGGGUAAAGAAGCACCGGCUAACUACGUG
rnacentral:rRNA from 1 species